rnacentral:rRNA from 1 species
AUGUCGAGCGCCGCCACCACCGGUUCCACUGCUGCGGGCUUCCUCCCGGCCUCUCUUGCGGCUCUGCUCAACCUCCCGCUCGAUGCCGUCUCUGUUCUGGCUCCGAUCGGGACAAGGAGCAUCGGCUCCGUCUUCUCCACGCCGCCGGCGCCCUCGCUUGGGCGUGACCUCGUGGUCCACACCGCGGCGCCGCCGUCCGCUGCGGACUCCGCAGGCGUCGUCCCGCCGCUCCUGCCGCAAGCGGAUCACACUGCCCCGCUGGCGGGGUUGGCAGCGUCCGCCCCGGCCGCGGGCCUUGCGGCGUCCGCACCGGCCGCGAGCUUUGCGGCGCCCGCCCUGGCUGCGGUCCCGCCUCCUCCCGCAUCGGCUUCGGUGCCUCCGGCUGCCUCCAUGGUGUUUGCACCCCAGGCAGCCUCCUCGAUGGGAUUGUCUUCGCCGCCGCCGUUUCACUUCGGUCAUCUCAUCACCAUCAAGCUCUCCGUCGACAACUACAUCUUCUGGAGUGCGCAGGUUCUCCCGCUCUUGGGGAGUCACUACCUGCUAGGCUACGUCGACGGAUCGCUUCCCUGCCCACCCGCGCUGGUAGACAGCGUGCACGGUCCGGUCUACAAUCCGGCCCAUCGCGUCUGGACGGGGCAGGACCAGGCGAACCUCUCCUCCAUCCAGGGGUCGCUCUCGCCGGCAGUUGCCGGCCUUGUUGUCUUCGCGAAGACGUCUCAUGAGGCCUGGACCAUCCUUGAGCGCACCUUUGCAGCGCAGUCCCAGGCUCGUGUCUCUGCACUCCGUCGUCAGCUUGGAGAGUGUCAGAAGCUUGACUCCGCUGCCACUGAGUUCUACAACAAGGUCAAGGGCCUCGCCGACACAUUGGCCUCCAUUGGACAGCCCCUCACCGACUCCGAGUUCAACUCGUUUAUUGUCAAUGGUCUUGAUGAGGAGUAUGAUGCCUUAGUCGAGAUCAUCAACGAGCGGGGCAACUCGACACCCAUGCUGGCACACGAGGUUUUCUCUCGGCUCCUUCUCACUGAGCAACGGGUCGAGACUCGCCGCACCAGGGGCACUGGCUCCCUCUCGGCCAACGCCGCCACCAAGGGUGGCCGCUCUUCUUCAUCACCCCGGUCUCCCUUGGGGCUGCCACCGUCGCCCGCCUCGGCCCCCCCACCUACUGCGACCUUACCGGGGUCUGGCGGUCCACGUGUGUGUCAGCUUUGUGGCCGCGAUGGGCACUAG